GCAAGUCGAGCGAGAAAGGCCUUCGGGCUGAGUACAGCGGCGGACGGGUGAGUAACGCGUAGGAAUCUACCUGGUAGUGGGGGACAACUUGUGGAAACGCAAGCUAAUACCGCAUACGCCCUAUGGGGGAAAGCGGGGGAUCUUCGGACCUCGUGCUAUCGGAUGAGCCUGCGUUGGAUUAGCUAGUUGGUGGGGUAAAGGCCCACCAAGGCGACGAUCCAUAGCUGGUCUGAGAGGAUGAUC
rnacentral:rRNA from 1 species